AACGCACAUUGCGCCCGUCAGUAUUCUGGCGGGCAUGCCUGUUCGAGCGUCAUUACGCCCCUCAAGUCCCCUGUGGACUUGGUGUUGGGGAUCGGCGAGGCUGGUUUUCCAGCACAGCCGUCCCUUAAAUUAAUUGGCGGUCUCGCCGUGGCCCUCCUCUGCGCAGUAGUAAAGCACUCGCAACAGGAGCCCGGCGCGGUCCACUGCCGUAAAACCCCCCAACUUUUUAUAGUUGACCUCGAAUCAGGUAGGACUACCCGCUGAACUUAA
rnacentral:misc_RNA from 1 species